rnacentral:misc_RNA from 1 species
CUGCAAAAGUAUCGCUCAAAUCGCACCGUAGAUUAGUCAUCAAAGUCAAAUUAUCACUGCCGUUGGAUCGUUCUAUGGUUCCCCAUAUAAUUAGCUAGCUCUCUCCAAUUGAUAAGUGUGUCUCGUGAAGUCGUCGAUGUUUUCCAGCUAUUUAUAACCACCCAUGGCCUUGUUUCUCAGACCUGAUCCUCUAUUCUUUUAUGUGAUGUUUGCUCUGUGCAAAUUCGAUUAGAUCGUUUGUCGAUCUAUCUUUUGAUCAUGGCUUUACCCUGUUUUUGCUUGGAGAUCGAUCCGUGGUUGCAGCUUCUUCGUAGCGCAGCUAGUUCUGUUACGAGCAAGCCGUAGCCGUCUCCUUUUCAGCUCAGAUCUGCGAACGUUGGAGCUUCGUGAGCUCAGGUGGCGAGAUCUAUGGAUUUACGACUGGUGAAGAUCUCUUUCCCUAGCUGAUAUGUCCAUCUCUGAGCUUUUGUUUUGUUUGGUUGGAGAUAACCGGCAGUGGAGGUAUAGAGUUCGUAUUCUGUUCAUGACUGCUGCCCAGAAUUUGUGUUCGGUUAAUAUGGAUUAGAUCUGUAUUUGUUUUUGCAUCUGCUGGUCUCCGAUAUUUAUUUUUGGCGUGUGUUGGCAGAUGUUCGAACCGAUGGUGAUUGGCCUCUCCAUGGGAGAUGGAUCUGACUGUUGGGCAUGCUGUGCUUCCGGGUAUCUGGAAAAUUUGGUGCCUUCUAAUCUGACGAUCUGCGUUGAUGGUAUUCUGGACCUGGCUUUCGUGAAGAUUAUUAGGCGACAAAAGGUUGGGUUUGUGGUUGUGUUAUUUACGGAUCUGUUCGGUUAUUAUGGUUUUGUGUUCUUCUGGCUGGAGAAUGAGGUAAUACUAUAGAAGUAGGAUGAUGGAAGGUUGCUGGGAGGGCUGAGGAGAUUAUUGGUUAAUUGAUGUUUAUUUGCUGCUUUUUGUUGCCUGACCUUUGCCAUGGCAGGUGCGCUUGCAUGGCAGGUCAAAUACUUCAAUAAAAUUUUAUAUUCUUGGGUUUUUGAGGGGGGAGAUGGCAUGGGAGUAUAUGGUUUUUUGGGCC